AUUGAACGCUGGCGGCAUGUUUUACACAUGCAAGUCGAACGGUAACAGGUCUUCGGCUGCUGACGAGUGGCGAACGGGUGAGUAAUACAUCGGAACGUGCCUAGUAGUGGGGGAUAACUACUCGAAAGAGUAGCUAAUACCGCAUGAGAUCUACGGAUGAAAGCAGGGGACCUUCGGGCCUUGUGCUACUAGAGCGGCUGAUGGCAGAUUAGGUAGUUGGUGGGGUAAAGGCUUACCAAGCCUGCGAUCUGUAGCUGGUCUGAGAGGACGACCAGCCACACUGGGACUGAGACACGGCCCAGACUCCUACGGGAGGCAGCAGUGGGGAAUUUUGGACAAUGGGCGAAAGCCUGAUCCAGCAAUGCCGCGUGCAGGAUGAAGGCCCUCGGGUUGUAAACUGCUUUUGUACGGAACGAAAAGCCUGGGGCUAAUAUCCCCGGGUCAUGACGGUACCGUAAGAAUAAGCACCGGCUAACUACGUG
rnacentral:rRNA from 1 species